rfam:Ciona savignyi cont_46929, whole genome shotgun sequence.
GGUAGCGUGGGCCGAGCGGUCUAAGGGCGCUGGUUUUAGGCACCAGUCAUUUCGAUGGGCGUGGAUUCGAAUCCCACCGCUGCCA